GGCCGGUUGGCCCAAUGGCAAGGCGUCUGACUACGACUUAGUAUGUUAUCAGGAGAUUCUGGGUUCGACCCCCAGGCUGGUCA